GAAAGCGACGUUCAACCGCAAAAGAAGCAGAGGGGGCUUAGUGGUGGGGUGACUGCGUACCUUUUGUAUAAUGGGUCAGCGACUUAUAUUCUGUAGCAAGGUUAACCGUAUAGGGGAGCCGGAGGGAAACCGAGUCUUAACCGGGCGUUAAGUUGCAGGGUAUAGACCCGAAACCCGGUGAUCUAGCCAUGGGCAGGUUGAAGGUUGGGUAACACUAACUGGAGGACCGAACCGACUAAUGUUGAAAAAUUAGCGGAUGACCUGUGGCUGGGGGUGAAAGGCCAAUCAAACCGGGAGAUAGCUGGUUCUCCCCGAAAGCUAUUUAGGUAGCGCCUCGUGAAUUCAUCUCCGGGGGUAGAGCACUGUUUCGGCUAGGGGGCCAUCCCGGCUUACCAACCCGAUGCAAACUGCGAAUACCGGAGAAUGUUAUCACGGGAGACACACGGCGGGUGCUAACGUCCGUCGUGAAGAGGGAAACAACCCAGACCGCCAGCUAAGGUCCCAAAGUCAUGGUUAAGUGGGAAACGAUGUGGGAAGGCCCAGACAGCCAGGAUGUUGGCUUAGAAGCAGCCAUCAUUUAAAGAAAGCGUAAUAGCUCACUGGUCGAGUCGGCCUGCGCGGAAGAUGUAACGGGGCUAAACCAU
rnacentral:rRNA from 1 species